UACGGAGGGUGCAAGCGUUGUCCGGAUUCAUUGGGUUUAAAGGGUGCGCAGGCGGGACAUUAAGUCAGGGGUGAAAGACGGUUGCUCAACAAUCGCAGUGCCUUUGAUACUGGUGUUCUUGGGUAACCUUGAGGUAGGCGGAAUGGGUGGUGUAGCGGUGAAAUGCGCAGAUAUCAGGAGGAACACCAGUGGCGAAGGCGGCGAUCUGGGAAGAUACUGACGCUGAGGUGCGAAAGCGUGGGGAGCAAACAGG
rnacentral:rRNA from 1 species